rnacentral:rRNA from 1 species
UACGUAGGGUGCAAGCGUUGUCCGGAAUUAUUGGGCGUAAAGAGCUCGUAGGCGGUCUGUCGCGUCUGCUGUGAAAACUCAGGGCUUAACCCUGAGCUUGCAGUGGGUACGGGCAGACUAGAGUGCGGUAGGGGAGACUGGAAUUCCUGGUGUAGCGGUGAAAUGCGCAGAUAUCAGGAGGAACACCGGUGGCGAAGGCGGGUCUCUGGGCCGUAACUGACGCUGGAGGAGCGGAAAAGCCAUGGGGAGCGAACAGG